rnacentral:rRNA from 1 species
AGAGUUUGAUCCUGGCUCAGGACGAACGCUGGCGGCGUGCUUAACACAUGCAAGUCGAACGGUGAACCCUUUCGGGGGGGAUCAGUGGCGAACGGGUGAGUAACACGUGAGCAACCUGCCCCUGGCUCUGGGACAACCACUGGAAACGGUGGCUAAUACCGGAUACGACCUACCGCCGCAUGGUGUGUGGGUGGAAAGUUUUUCGGCUGGGGAUGGGCUCGCGGCCUAUCAGCUUGUUGGUGGGGUGAUGGCCUACCAAGGCGACGACGGGUAGCCGGCCUGAGAGGGCGACCGGCCACACUGGGACUGAGACACGGCCCAGACUCCUACGGGAGGCAGCAGUGGGGAAUAUUGCACAAUGGGCGAAAGCCUGAUGCAGCGACGCCGCGUGAGGGAUGACGGCCUUCGGGUUGUAAACCUCUUUCAGCUCCGAAGAAGCGAGAGUGACGGUAGGAGCAGAAGAAGCACCGGCUAACUACGUGCCAGCAGCCGCGGUAAUACGUAGGGUGCAAGCGUUGUCCGGAAUUAUUGGGCGUAAAGAGCUCGUAGGCGGUGUGUCGCGUCUGCUGUGAAAACUCAGGGCUCAACUCUGAGCUUGCAGUGGGUACGGGCACACUAGAGUGCUGUAGGGGAGACUGGAAUUCCUGGUGUAGCGGUGAAAUGCGCAGAUAUCAGGAGGAACACCGGUGGCGAAGGCGGGUCUCUGGGCAGUUACUGACGCUGAGGAGCGAAAGCAUGGGGAGCGAACAGGAUUAGAUACCCUAGUAGUCC